AAUGGGGCGCCGGGCAGGGCGCACGCGCGGGACGGGCGGGGCGGUCACGUGGCGCGGCCACCCCCGCCACGGGCUUUGGGGCGGGCCGGGCGCUGUGGCACGUGCGGGAGCGGCCGCAGGGACUUCCCUGGUGGCGAAGUGGUUAAGAAUCCGCCUGCCAAUGCAGGGGACACCGAUUCCCAGCCCUGGUGGGGAAAGAUCCCACAUGCCGCAGAGCAACUAAGCCGGUUCGCCACAACUACUGAGCCUGCGAGCCACAACUACUGAGCCCCUGCGCCUAGAGCCUGUGCUCUGAAACAGGAGAAGCCACUGCAAUGAGAAGACCACGCACUGCAACGAAGAGAAGCUCUCGCUCGCUGCAACUAGAGAAAGCCUGCGCGCAGCAAUGAAGACCCAAGGCAGCCAAAAAUAAAUAAAUUUCUUAAAAAAAAAAAAACAGGAGGAAGGGGAGAAGCGUCAUAAAUAACUUUAGAGACACGGAGGAAAAUGCCAGAAGCCACCAAAAUUGCUGAAAGGGGGUCUGGUCCGGGGAGCAUGGGGCUGGGCAUGGCUAUUUUCCAUGAUGGGAAUUUCAGUGAUUUUUUUUUUUUAGCUACACACAUAUUAGUUUUUAAACGUGUUGAGGCAACACUGUGAUGAAAACACCACGGCCAGUGAGGCUCGGUGGGGGCCUGGGUCUGAGCUCUGCUGCUGAGCGCCCCUCCAGCACUGCCCAAGGCGGGGUGGCAGUGGUGCCUCAUCCAAGGUCAUGUUUUGAGAGAAUAAUAGUCAAGGAAAAGAACUUUGUUGCCAAAGAAUAUAAAACCACAAAACUGCCUUUCCUGCACCACUUCCACGUUCAGUCUUCCUCCUCCAGUUAUUAAAAUGUGCUUGUGGCAGUUGAUUUUGGAGUGGGCUCAUGGUUACUUUUGUGAAUUGAGUUGGGUUUGAAAUAAAAUUUACAUGCAAUGAAAGGCACCUGCUUUCACUGCCCUGUGCAUAAGCUCUUCCUGGCCAGAUGAGCGGCUGCAGGACCCAGUUGGCUCUCCCCUCUCUGUCGGUCACCUGGACCAGUUUUGCCUCCUCUGGGGCUUCACGUAAACAGAAUCUUUUUUUUUUCCCCCUUUUUGUCUGUACCGCGGCACAUGGAAUGUCCCUGACCUGGGAUCGAACCUGUGCCCCCUGCAGUAGAAGCUCGGAGUCCUAACCACUGGACCGCCAGGAAGUCCAGGGAAUCGCUUUGUACUCCCUUGUGGGAAACAUCUGCACAGACACACCCAGAAAUGUUUUACCAGCUCUCCAGACGUUCCUCAGCCCGGUCAAGUUGACACCUACAAUUAACGUCACAGCUUGCUUCUGUGUCUGGCUUCUCUCACUGAGCAUCGUGUUCUCAAGGUCCAUCCACGUUGUAAACGAGUGUCAGUGUUUCUCUCCUUUUCACGGCGAAGUGAUGCUCCCGCGUGUGGAGGGACUAGAUUUUUUGUAUCGAACCAUCCCUGGAUAGACGCUUGUUUCAUCAAUUUUUUAAAAUAAGUAAAUAAAUAAAUUUUUG